rnacentral:rRNA from 1 species
AUUGAACGCUGGCGGCAGGCUUAACACAUGCAAGUCGAGCGAGCGGCGGACGGGUGAGUAAUGUAUGGGAAACUGCCUGAUGGAGGGGGAUAACUACUGGAAACGGUAGCCAAUACCGCCUACCAUCAGCUGUGCCCAGAUGGGAUUAGCUAGUAGGUGGGGUAAUGGCUCACCUAGGCGACGAUCCCUCGCUGGGCUGAGAGGAUGACGAGCCACACUGGAACUGAGACACGGUCAAGACUCCUACGGGGGGCAGCAGUGGGGAAUAUUGGACAAUGGGCGAAAGCCUGAUGCAGCAAUGCCGCGUGUGUGAAGAGGGCCUUCGGGUUGUAAAGCACUUUAAGCGGGGAGGCGUUACUCGAAGAGGAAGCACCGGCUAACUCCGUGCCAGCAGCCGCGGUAAUAC